rnacentral:rRNA from 1 species
AUUCCCUCUUUCUUCGUGCCUAAUACAUGCAAGUCGAGCGAACAGAUGAGGAGCUUGCUCCUCUGACGUUAGCGGCGGACGGGUGAGUAACACGUGGAUAACCUACCUAUAAGACUGGGAUAACUUCGGGAAACCGGAGCUAAUACCGGAUAAUAUAUUGAACCGCAUGGUUCAAUAGUGAAAGACGGUUUUGCUGUCACUUAUAGAUGGAUCCGCGCCGCAUUAGCUAGUUGGUAAGGUAACGGCUUACCAAGGCAACGAUGCGUAGCCGACCUGAGAGGGUGAUCGGCCACACUGGAACUGAGACACGGUCCAGACUCCUACGGGAGGCAGCAGUAGGGAAUCUUCCGCAAUGGGCGAAAGCUUGACGGAGCAACGCCGCGUGAGUGAUGAAGGUCUUCGGAUCGUAAAACUCUGUUAUUAGGGAAGAACAAAUGUGUAAGUAACUAUGCACGUCUUGACGGUACCUAAUCAGAAAGCCACGGCUAACUACGUG